rnacentral:rRNA from 1 species
UACAGAGGGUGCGAGCGUUAAUCGGAAUUACUGGGCGUAAAGCGCACGUAGGUGGCUUGGCAAGUCGGGUGUGAAAUCCCCGGGCUCAACCUGGGAACUGCAUUCGAGACUGCCUUGCUAGAGUAUGGGAGAGGGAAGUGGAAUUUCCGGUGUAGCGGUGAAAUGCGUAGAUAUCGGAAGGAACAUCAGUGGCGAAGGCGACUUCCUGGACCAAUACUGACACUCAGGGACGAAAGCUAGGGGAGCGAAUGGG